CGAAUGCUGACAUAAGUAACGAUAAAGCGGGUGAAAAGCCCGCUCGCCGGAAGACCAAGGGUUCCUGUCCAACGUUAAUCGGGGCAGGGUGAGUCGACCCCUAAGGCGAGGCCGAAAGGCGUAGUCGAUGGGAAACAGGUUAAUAUUCCUGUACUUGGUGUUACUGCGAAGGGGGGACGGAGAAGGCUAUGUUGGCCGGGCGACGGUUGUCCCGGUUUAAGCGUGUAGGCUGGUUUUCCAGGCAAAUCCGGAAAAUCAAGGCUGAGGCGUGAUGACGAGGCACUACGGUGCUGAAGC
rnacentral:rRNA from 1 species